AGUGAACGCUGGCGGUGUGCCUAACACAUGCAAGUCGAACGGCAGCACAGUAAGAUCUUGCUCUUACGGGUGGCGAGUGGCGGACGGGUGAGGAAUACAUCGGAAUCUACUUUUUCGUGGAGGAUAACGUAGGGAAACUUACGCUAAUACCGCAUACUACCUACGGGUGAAAGCAGGGGAUCUUCGGACCUUUCGCGAUUGAAUGAGCCGAUGUCGGAUUAGCUAGUUGGCGGGGUAAAGGCCCACCAAGGCGACGAUCCGUAGCUGGUCUGAGAGGAUGAUCAGCCACACUGGAACUGAGACACGGUCCAGACUCCUACGGGAGGCAGCAGUGGGGAAUAUUGGACAAUGGGCGAAAGCCUGAUCCAGCAAUACCGCGUGGGUGAAGAAGGCCUUCGGGUUGUAAAGCCCUUUUGUUGGGAAAGAAAAGCAGCAGGUUAAUACCCCGCUGUUCUGACGGUACCCAAAGAAUAAGCACCGGCUAACUUCGUG
rnacentral:rRNA from 1 species